rnacentral:rRNA from 1 species
CUCGGAGUUUGAUCCUGGCUCAGGAUGAACGCUAGCGGCAGGCUUAACACAUGCAAGUCGAGGGGUAUAGUUCUUCGGAGCUAGAGACCGGCGCACGGGUGCGUAACGCGUAUGCAAUCUACCUUUUACAGAGGGAUAGCCCAGAGAAAUUUGGAUUAAUACCUCAUAGUAUGCAGAGUUGGCAUCAACACUGCAUUAAAGUCACAACGGGUGAAAGAUGAGCAUGCGUCCCAUUAGCUUGUUGGUAAGGUAACGGCUUACCAAGGCAACGAUGGGUAGGGGUCCU